rnacentral:misc_RNA from 1 species
AUAAUUUAAAUUAAUUUCAACCAUAAAUUCUUAUAUAGGCAAUAUGAAUCUAUAAGGUUAUUGAAUAUUACUAACAUAAUUAUAUUUGAUCGGAUCUUUAUCUUUGACAAUUUCUAAUUUAUUGUUAAAGCAACUUACCGAUCAUCAGAGCUGAGAGAAGAUGCAAACAAAAAGAAGCAAUUAUGAAAUUCAAAGGGACUUAACUCUGGGGGAAAUACGAGCUCGUAGUGGACUGGCGAAUUCUUGCUUCUCCGAGAGAUCGACAUCAUCAUCUCCUUCGACAGGAUUCCAUUGGAACUGCCAAAUCAAAUUGGCCACAAAGUAUUCCAAGUGAAGCAUAGCCAAUG